CCUACGGGUGGCAGCAGUGGGGAAUAUUGGGCAAUGGGCGCGAGCCUGAACCAGCAAAGUCGCGUGAGGGAAGACGGUCCUAUGGAUUGUAAACCUCUUUUGUCGGGGAGCAAAAGACGCCACGCGUGGCGUUCCGAGCGUACCCGACGAAUAAGGAUCGGCUAACUCCGUGCCAGCAGCCGCGGUAAUACGGAGGAUUCGAGCGUUAUCCGGAUUUAUUGGGGGGAAAGGGCGUGUAGCCGGGCUGACAAGUCAGAUGUGAAAUCCGGGGGCUCAACCCCCGAACUGCAUUUGAAACUGUUGGUCUUGAGUAUCGGAGAGGCCGGCGGAAUUCCUAGUGUAGCGGUGAAAUGCGUAGAGAUCAAGAGGAAUACUCAUUGCGAAGGCGACCUGCUAGAACAUAACUGACGCUGAUGCGCGAAAGCGUGGGGAGCAAACAGGAUUAGAUACCCCAGUAGUC
rnacentral:rRNA from 1 species